ensembl:snoRNA
GUGCACAUUUUGUUGACCUGCUUUCUCUUGCGUAUGUGAGCAGUGUUAUUUCUUAUGUGCAGGAGAAAUAGUUAAAGGUUAAUUAGCAAUAUAAUGAAAUAGUAAUACUGCCAGCCCCCUUCAAACAGAA